GAGAUUUCUGUCCCUGUUAUGUCCCCAUUGUUUGUCACGUCCCGUCCUGUGUCACAGAUGGGUGCACAUAUUUGUGCCGGAGCUGCUCUGCCCCGCUGCGUAGCCUGGUGCGAUAGGACCAGUCCCGGGGACUUGAAAUUUGUAAGGUGGGGUGUAGUCAGGCUCUAGAUGGUAUUCCUAGAUUGACACAGGAUGUUUGGAGCUGUGAAGUUCUCCUGCAGCCCUUUGACUUGUCUUAACUUUCUUUCAGAUGCAGCAGGAUAAAAUCCAUGGCAGAGCAUCCCAUCCUGGAUUAGGGGGUUCCCCUGAGCAGGAAGUAAAGCCAGAUAUCAGCAGUCAGGUUGAAGAGGGCAAGGCAAUUGACUCUGAGUGUCAUCUGGGUCGCCUUUGGCAACAGCCAUGGAG